rnacentral:rRNA from 1 species
UACGGGGGGGGGCAAGCGUUGUUCGGAAUUACUGGGCGUAAAGGGCUCGUAGGCGGCCAACUAAGUCAGACGUGAAAUCCCCCAGGCUCAACCUGGGAACUGCGUCUGAUACUGGAUGGCUUGAAUUCGGGAGAGGGAUGCAGAAUUCCAGGUGUAGCGGUGAAAUGCGUAGAUAUCUGGAGGAAUACCGGUGGCGAAGGCGGCAUCCUGGACCGACAUUGACGCUGAGGAGCGAAAAGCUAGGGGGAGCAAACGGG